GGGAAGGCUUCUCUGAGGAGGCGGCCUAGGAGGGAAGCCAGAAGGAAGCCAGGCUCGUACGCCCAUCUGUGAAAUGGAUCCAUUAAGGACACUUGGAACCGGGUGGAAGCAGCCACUUGGACCUGGCGUCCCAGCACAAGAUGACACGGGGGAGCCGGAGCCAGAGUCACUCCUGGGAUUUGGACUCCAGAGGCCCCGGAUGUGCAAUUGCCCCCUGGGGCAGGGCCUCUGAGGCCACAGAUCCUUUCCCAGACAAAGCUCAUCCUGGCCAGCCACCAGAGUCGUCACUCUGCAGCACCCUGGCUGAACCUCUCCUGCGGUGUCCCCUUGGUGGAGAAAAGCUCACAAGACCCUCCCUGAUCUGGCUGCUGCAGACCUUUCCCACCCAUUUCCCACCAGGCUGGCCUGUGUUCACCACGGUCCUUCUGCGCCUUAAGUAUGCAGAGCUUCACCUAGCCUCAGGGCCUUUGCACCUGCUGUUCGCCCUUUCUGGAAUGCUUUUUCCCCAGAUCUAAGUGGCUUCAUCUCAACACUCAGGUCUCAGCACAAGUGUUAUGUCCUCAGAAAAGCGGCUAGACCUUGAUCAUCCUGACUAGUUGGACUUAACCUUCCUGCCCCUCUUCCCUCGGGCACACAUUGUCUCAGCCUUCAGUUUUAUUGCCUUCAAAGACUUUCUGUAACUAUAGUGACAGGGUUACUCCUUUAUCGUUUUACUUCCCCCUGGAAGGCCAGCAACGGGCGAGCAGGAAUCCUGUCUGCCUUGUUCACCCCUGUAUCUUCAGAGCCUACGUGACACAUGGCAGAUUCUCAAUAAA